AGCGAACGUUAGCGGCGGGCUUAACACAUGCAAGUCGAACGCGAAAGGGAUUCGUCCCCGGUAGCGUGGCGUCCGGGUGAGUAACACGUAGGAAACCUUGCCUCGAGCGGGGGAUAACGUCCCGAAAGGGACGCUAAUACCGCAUAAGCCCACGCCGGCUCCGGCCGGAGUGGGAAAAGAUGGCCACUGAAUUCAAGCUAUCUCUCGAGGAUGGUCCUGCGGCGCAUCAGCUAGUUGGUGGGGUAACGGCCCACCAAGGCGAAGACGCGUAGCUGGUCUGAGAGGAUGAUCAGCCACACUGGCACUGAAACACGGGCCAGACUCCUACGGGAGGCAGCAGUGGGGAAUAUUGGACAAUGGGCGCAAGCCUGAUCCAGCCACGCCGCGUGAGUGAUGAAGGCCUUCGGGUUGUAAAGCUCUGUGGGGAGGGGCGAAAACGGCCGGUAAGAAACGACCGGUCCUUGACGGUACCUCCUUAGCAAGCACCGGCUAACUCUGUG
rnacentral:rRNA from 1 species